rnacentral:rRNA from 1 species
GAUGAACGCUGGCGGCGUGCCUAAUACAUGCAAGUAGAACGCUGAAGGAGGAGCUUGCUCUUCUGGAUGAGUUGCGAACGGGUGAGUAACGCGUAGGUAACCUGCCUGGUAGCGGGGGAUAACUAUUGGAAACGAUAGCUAAUACCGCAUAAGAGUAGAUGUUGCAUGACAUUUACUUAAAAGGUGCAAUUGCAUCACUACCAGAUGGACCUGCGUUGUAUUAGCUAGUUGGGGGGGUAACGGCUUACCAAGGCGACGAUACAUAACCGACCUGGGAGGGGUAUCGGCCAAGCUGGGAUGAGAACACGGCCCAGACUCCUGCGAGAGGGAGCAGUAGGGAAUCGUCGGGAAUGGAAGGAAGUCUGACCGAGCAACGCCGGGUGAGUGAAGGAGGUAUACGGAUCGUAAAGCUCUGUUGUAAGAGAAGAACGAGUGUGAGAGUGGAAAGUUCACAUUGUGACGGUAUCUUACCAGAAAGGGACGGCUAACUACGUG